GCCGUCGCUUCGUUGUCGCCGGAAGAGGACGAAGGCUCAGCGAGAGGAGAGGGCCUUGGAGGAGGGAGAAGGGGAAGCGGAGAAAGGCGACUUGGGUUUCGGUCGCCACCCUUGCCUUGUUGAUCUUCAUCGGCGCUACAGCUGCUUCUUGGAAUUAAUCCUCCCAGGGGAUUGUAGGUUGUACCAUGGAUGCGAAAUUCGAUGAUUUCCUUGAACCAUCAUUGCUUCUAGAUGAGACACAAUACCAAGAGGGUUUCAGGAUUGGCUACGCCGCUGGCUUGGUAUUAGGGAAGGAAGAGGGGAGGACGCUUGGUCUGAACAUGGGUUUUCAGGUAGGGGGAGAACUGGGCUUCUACCGGAGCUGCUUAGACGUCUGGAUUGCAGCAGCUCACAUCAACCAUAAUGCAUUCUCGGAUCGCAUGAAGAAGAAUCUUGAGCAGAUGGCUGCACUGCUGAGUAGCUACCCUAUGGAAGAUCCAGAGAAUGAGCAAAUUCAGGAAAUCAUGGAGAAGAUAAGGCUAAAGUUCAGAAUUACUACCGCAAGCUUGGGUGUGAAGUUGGAGCAUGCAAGUCGAUCAAAGUCACUGAAACAGAGUUUUGAGGAUCUGUAGGUGGUGAGCAAUCAGCAUUGUAUAAAUGUGAAAUUCAGGAAAUCAUGGGGAAGAUAAGGCUGAAGGUUGGGAUUAUUACUGCAAGCAUGGUAGUGAAAUUGGAGUAUGAAGGUCGAUCCAAGUCACAGAAGCAGGGUAUUGAGUAUCUGUAGUAAGUUGCAAAUUAUGUAAAACCCGUAACUGAAGAAUUUCUGUCAACAUUGGUGAAUCACAAGAAUCAGUUAGUAAAGAAGUUGACUUUUAUUGUGGAUCAUCGUAAUCUUCUGAAUUUCUGUUUUGUUAAAAUUUGCAAAUGGAAAGCUUCGAUUCUCAUA